UGGAGGCACAUGACAGUAAAACAGCUAGUCCGGCUGCCUGUUUCUAUCUAAAGAUAUCUGCUUACAUCGCAUGCCUUAUGAAGCAUUGUCGACUCGAUUCAGACAGCAAGAAAGUAAGUGAUGGAUGCUUGGACCUUGCCUGGACCUGAUGUAGACAGCCGAGUACCAGGACAGUGGGUUCUGAUCUCCAAACCACAGCACUUAAACACCACAAGAGCCAAAGUUUGAAGGACCCCAUCACAUUAUCCUUGUCAUUGAAGCAGCAAUGAAAGUUUGGCACUGCUAUAAUGGAGACCUGCAUUUUUAACUGUCUUCAAACAACCAGAGUUUAGGU